rnacentral:rRNA from 1 species
UAACGCGUGGGUAACCUGCCUCAUACAGGGGGAUAACAGCUGGAAACGGCUGAUAAAACCGCAUAAGCGCACAGCAUCGCAUGAUGCAGUGUGAAAAACUCCGGUGGUAUGAGAUGGACCCGCGUCUGAUUAGCUGGUUGGUGAGGUAACGGCCCACCAAGGCGACGAUCAGUAGCCGGCCUGAGAGGGUGACCGGCCACAUUGGGACUGAGACACGGCCCAA